GACAGAGGGUGCAAGCGUUGUCCGGAUUGACUGGGUGUAAAGGGCGUGUAGGUGGUCAGAUAAGUCCGUUGUGAAAACAACACCGCUUAACGGGUUGUCCGCAUCGGAAACUGUUUGACUUGAGUGCAGAAGAGGGAAACGGAAUUCCCGGUGUAGCGGUGGAAUGUGUAGAUAUCGGGAGGAACACCAGUGGCGAAGGCGGUUUCCUGGUCUGUAACUGACGCUGAGGCGCGAAAGCUAGGGGAGUAAACGGG
rnacentral:rRNA from 1 species